CAAAUAUUGUCUGCAGUUCUGAUUUCCAUGUUUCUGCUUGUACUGUGGAUGUAUUGGAAGAAUUUGGAUGUUGAUGUCCACUAUGCUUUGGCCCCUUUUAGUUUGAAGGAUGUGUAGAUUGACGACUUUUUAACUUUUAAUGUGAUUUACUUAUGAGCUGUCUUCUACACAUUAUGUGCAUGCAUGCAACUCUGUCUUCAGCGUCAUGUUCAAGUCAGAAGAAUACUUCUGUAUGUUCUUGUUUUAGUCCAAAUGCAUUGUCUUUGGGAAUAUUUUGCUUAAGUUGAUUCUUUUGAUCUUUCCAGAUUGAACUUUACAAUGGCAUGGUGGAGAAAGAGGGUACAUAUGGUGAAAAGGAUGCCUUGAAGGCAUAUAAAGUUGCUCAGGAUGAAAGUGACAGUACUUCUGUUGAGGCUGAAGGUGACGAGGUUUCAUCAACGCUUAUAGACAAGGUGGAUGCAAUGCUUCAAAACCUUGAGACAGAAAUUGAUUAUAUAUGCGCAUAUUGGUGAUCUCUGACAAUUACUUGACUGGUGAACUCGUCUUGUUUCGUCUUUGGUUUUCUUUUCCUAUGAGUUCUGUUAGAAAUCAUACUUCCUACUGAAUGGAAGCAAUCCUUCUUUUCUUGUCUUUCAAUCUGUAGUCGGUUUAAGUUGUUAUUAAACUCAUUUUGAGGGAUACUAGUAAUGUUAAACUUUGAUGGAUGGUAUUGCAUUGGAAUUUUGUCUAUGUAAUUAAAGGUAUGAGGUUUACAAUAUGUGUGCAUGGAUUUUGAUGGGAAAGUAACUCCUGAUGAGGUUGCAGUUGCUGCGAACUACUUGAAUUAUACUUUAGGCAAGGAGGGCAUCCAAGAACUCAUAGGCAACCUUUCCAAAGAUAAAGAUGGGAAAAUUCGUGUGGAAGAUAUUGUGAAAUUGGGCAGCCGGACAGAAGAUGCAAACCAAGCUGAAGAUGAGGGGUUAGAGAAUAAUAUAGAUGAGUCACUGACUGACUUUAUUCAUGAUAUAUAUCUGAGACUCUGAAAUGGUUGUGGAGUGGAUUUGGUUAAAUCCACUCUCUAGGUUUUGUUUUUCAAUAUACACGCAAUGCAACAAACCAAAAUUGUUUACCUACUUGCAUGCAACACUAGUUAAUGUUCUUCUUUUCUUAGGUCCAAA